GGGCGGCUGGCGCAGUGGUAGCGCGCUUCGUUCACACCGAAGAGGUCCCCAGUUCGAACCUGGGGUCGCCCA
rnacentral:tRNA from 1 species